GAUAGCCAUAGAUAACAAAGGGGUUGAGGGUGGGAUGGUUAACUACUCUGACAACCUGAGUUGUUGCGUCGUAUAGUCCUCCCCAAAACAUAGCUUUUCCUACCAGUAAUAAAGCUGCCAUGCCUAAAAACAGGAGGUGAUGCCCUAAAAUCAAACCGAGUUGUUUCGGGUCGUUCCA
rnacentral:antisense_RNA from 9 species